UCCGCUGUAGUCUAGGUCGCAAGGAUAUACGGCUUUCACCCGUACGGCCCGGGUUCGGGUCACGGCAGUGGAU